GAGCUUACGGAACGACAUAAAGAGGUCACUGGCGUCACUAAAGGUGCUCCGACCUUGAAGAACAUAGUUUCUUUUUCAUUUUAAGGUUUUCGGUGAACGUUUUGUCUGGUUUUGUCAACAAGAAAUGUCAUAUUAUUUACGGAAUCAUACGGGAUGUUGGGUUAUGGGGUUAAAAACAAACGUAAAAUUUAUUUUAACAAAGUAAUAGAUACUUACGACACAGUCUUACGAUACAUGUAAAAAAUACUAGAAAAUUCCAGGCUAAAGAGGUCAACAAACUGCAGGUUAAACGAAAUAGUUUAAUUUUCGCUGUGUGCGUGUUUGAGCGGUCCAAGAUUUAUUUUUAAAUUUUAGUGUGUAAAAAAUUCUAACUCUAAUAAAAACUGAGACGAGGUAAUCAAGAGGAAAGUCUUUGCAGGGGUGGUGGAAUGGUAUUUUUGUAUGGUUCGUUUUUUAGCCGCAAACCAGUUAACGAAUACAGUGCAUAAAUUGGGAAAAACUCACAAAAUAUAUUACCCACUACCGGAGUAUAAACUGCAAAAUGUUCAGGUGGCAUCAUUAAAUCGCCAAAAAUCACAUCUUCAUUGAAAACUUUAAAAUGUCACACAAUUAAAACAGGAUGUACCACUUCGUAAGAAUGUGCAAGGUUCACACAAACUUCGCAGAAGUGGUGGUGUGAGUUUCCGGUAACUCACAUCACUUGAUGAUUGUUGAAGAGGCCGGAAUACAGGGAAGAUGUGUUGUGGAAGUUUGUUUAAAAGAACACCUUAGCAAAUUUUCCAUUUCAAAUAGAAUAGUGUUUCACAGUUGGUUCUUGCACUUGUAUCGAAAUAAUCUGUAGUAAAUAGUUUCCGAAACGUUCUUUGGAAUUCUAUUGGUGUGGGAUUUAUACAAUUCCCAAAUUGACGCCUCACAGAGCCAAACAAAUAUGUCAAACAAUACUGAUUUAGUUGCAGCAACCUUUUAGUGAAAAUUGUAAACAAAUUGUAUUCUGUGAAAACUAUUAAAAAUAAUAAGCAAAA